rnacentral:rRNA from 1 species
UACAGAGGUCCCGAGCGUUGUUCGGAUUCAUUGGGCGUAAAGGGUGCGUAGGCGGUCUUCUAAGUUUGAUGUGAAAUCCCGGGGCUUAACCCUGGAAUUGCAUUGAAUACUGGAGGACUUGAGUACCGGAGAGGAAACUGGAAUUUACGGUGUAGCAGUGAAAUGCGUAGAGAUCGUAAGGAAGACCAGUGGCGAAGGCGAGUUUCUGGGCGGAUACUGACGCUGAGACGCGAAAGCGUGGGUAGCAAACAGG